AUCUACCACGCGCACGCUUCGGUUCUGAGCGCGCCGUUCGCACCCAUCUGACGACUGCGCGCUACGUUGUGUUGGAC
rnacentral:sRNA from 1 species